rnacentral:miRNA from 1 species
UCUGACAUGCAUGAACGAGU